CAUUUAGUAAGCCAAAGCAUUUAUUUCAAGUCUUGCUGUAAUACACACUACUGACUCAUCAUGUCAGUGAACUGAAACAUAUAUUGGGAAUUACAAUAUUUGGAGUUAAGGGUCAGAAAAAAAAAUCACACAAAUCCACAGGGCUGGGAGCAAAGAUCCUCCAGCUCCCUUUACUGAGGGCUUGCCUUACUUACAGCACUGCAACUGCAUUUCUCCCGUCUGCAUACUUAAUCCACCUCUCCAAGAGGUGGUAACUAUGUAGAUGGGAGAAGCUCUCCUGCCAACAUAUCACUGUCCACAUAAGGGGUUAGGUCAGUAUAACUAUGUCACUGAAAAUCCACAGCCCUAGCAAUUUAGUUAUCCUGAUACAGAUCUGUAGCGCAGGCCGGCCCAUAGCCAGCGCAGCGAUGGGUGCACUACAAACGCAGAGAAGGGGGCAGCUCACGCUCAAUCUUUCAUAUAAGAUGAUGGAAGGAAAUGAGGACUCUAUUGAAGACCAUCUCACUGCUUAUGCAAUUCAGCUUAGUAUUCAAGAAUCAGUUGAAGCCAGUCAACCACCAACUUCCCAUUACCAUGACAGAUUUGUACCACCCAGUGAUCAAAAUAGGAAACUUAUAGCAGCCAUAAGACAAGGCCAAGUAUUUGAUCUUCAGAGCUAUGUGAAACAUAAAUAUGCUUUGGAUGAAGCUGAUGAAAGAGGCUGGUUCCCACUUCAUGAGGCUGCAGCUCAGCCAAUUCAGCAAAUACUUGAAAUCAUUCUGGAUGCAUCUUAUAAAUCAAUGUGGGAAUACAAAACAUGCGAUGGAGAAACACCGUUAACUUUGGCAGCAAAAGCUGGUUUUGUGGAAAAUGUAAGAAAAUUAUUGGAAAAGGGUGUUUGGCCUAAUACCACAAACAAUAAAGGAGAAACUCCUCUUCUCAUUGCUGUGAGACGGGGCUCUUACGAAAUGGUAUUGGCUCUGAUUAAAUACAACUGUCAUAUCCACCAGCCAUGUGUAAAACGCUGGUCAGCAAUGCAUGAAGCUGCAAAACAAGGCUGCAAAGAGAUUAUUUCUCUGCUUCUGAAGAAUGGAGGAAAUGUGCACCUGAAAGAUGGUUAUGGGGUAACGCCAUUAGGAAUUGCUGCUGAAUAUGGACACUGUGAUGUGCUGGAGCAUCUUAUUCAUAAAGGUGGUGAUGUUCAUGCUUUAGCAGAUGAUGGUGCAUCAGUACUGUUUGAAGCAGCUGGAGGAGGUAAUCCAGACUGUGUAGCUCUUCUUUUGGAAUAUGGAGGAAGUGGUAAUGUGCCUAAUAGGGCAGGACAGCUUCCUAUACACAGAGCAGCCUAUGAAGGACAUUAUUUGUCACUGAAAUAUCUAAUUCCAGUUACAUCCAAGACUGCAAUCCAGAGAAGUGGGUUAAGCCCCAUUCACUCAGCAGCAGAUGGCCAGAAUGUGCAGUGUCUAGAGCUCCUCAUUGAAAAUGAUUUUGAUGUCAAUACUCUCCUGGCUGAACACAUUUCUGAAAACUACGAUGAUGAAAGGAAAACGGCACUCUAUUUUGCUGUUUCUAACAAUGACAUUCUCUGCACAGAAGUGUUACUCAAAGCUGGUGCAGACCCAAACAAGGAUCCUCUAAAUUGUCUUCUUGUAGCAGUGAGAGCUGGUAACCAUGAAAUUGUACGAUUGCUUCUGUCCUAUGGAGCAAAUGUCAAUUGCUACUUCAUGCUCGUGAAUGACACCCAUUUCCCCAGUGCCAUUCAGUAUGCUUUGAAUGAUGAGGUAAUGCUAAGGCUGUUGUUGAAUCAUGGAUAUAAUGCAGAGAGGUGUUUUGAUUGCAUGCAUGACGACAUCUUUGGAAGUUCUUUUGUGUGGUCACUUCCAGAAGAGGAGGUAUUACCAGGAUGGACAUCUUGUGUAAUAAAAGAUACUCCAUUCUGUGCCUUUAUUACAGUUCCUUGGUUGAAACAUUUAGUUGGACAUGUGAUUCGCAUUUUGAUAGACUAUAUGGAUUAUGUUCCUUUGUGCUCAAAACUAAAGUGUGUCCUAGAAGCACAGAAAGAAUGGCCAGAGAUACAUCAGAUAUUAGAGAAUCCUCGCCCAUUAAAACAUUUGUGCCGCCUGAAAAUACGUAAACUGAUGGGACUAAGAAGACUAUGGAGACAAGCACCAAUGGCGAAGCUUCCUCUUCCACCAGUUCUAAAGGACUAUAUCCUAUAUAAAGAAUAUGAUCUUUAUGGAAAGGGACUAAAUUUAGCUUAGAUUUAAAACAGUCAUUUAAAACUUGUAAAUUAAUUCUUUAGAAUUUUUUUGCUAGAUUGAGAAUUAUUGAAUAUUGUUAUAUGUACUCAAAACAUUUGAUAUUUGCUAUAAAUAGGCUUUUUAUGGGAACCCUUUUAAAAAAAGUGGUCUGUAAAACUCAAUUUGUUUUUUCUGUUUUUACUUAACAUUGUGUCUUGAUAUUCUAAGAGCAUGGAGAAGGAGAUGAUAGCCAUUGUGCAACCCAAAACCUCCAGGAUUGGCUUUUAACCCCCACAGCUGGAACUCUCCGAUCUUGUCUGCUAUGCUUCCACCAUCUCUUCCAAGCCCUGCCUUCGUGGACACGACUUCCAUGAAUCCUAUAAAUACUUCCACUCAGGAAAAUUGUAUCAGAAAAAGUGGACCUGACCAAGACACGUUCCAACCAUAAUGAUUCAAUCAUUUGCUUCCCUGUUUCCAUUCAUUAUCUGCAGUUUUUUAGGCUGCACUAAUUGAGUCAGGAACCAUGUCAUUUUACAUAUUUGAAAGCACCUAAUGCAUUUUCUACACUAUAUGUUUAAAAAUAAUAAUGAUCACUGUUCUAAAUGAUUUCUCCCUCUCCUUUUGCACUGAAAGCUCUUCUAAAGACUCCAGACUAUAUUACCAGGACAAAUAGUAGAUAAAGCAAAUAGAAGUUGCCACAGAUCCACAGGACCUGUGCUUUGUCCUGACAUGCAAACAAUCCUUAGGAGAUAUGCUUUGAGUGUAUCAGACUUCCACAGGGGUUACGCUCUUCCACAAGGGUGAGGCAAGUGGCCUCAAUGCCUCUGAGACUAAGCCUCCAGCUCCAGCACUCCUGUUUCAUCCCACGAGGUCUGCCCACUGAGUCCAACUGAGCUAGAUGCCUGUUCAGAGACUAUUCCUGCUUCAGGAAUCAAUGCACCUCAGUAAGUAUUUGC